rnacentral:rRNA from 1 species
CAGUCGCCGCGGGAAUACGUAGGUGGCAAGCGUUGUCCGGAAUUAUUGGGCGUAAAGGGCUCGCAGGCGGUUUCUUAAGUCUGAUGUGAAAGCCCCCGGCUCAACCGGGGAGGGUCAUUGGAAACUGGGAAACUUGAGUGCAGAAGAGGAGAGUGGAAUUCCACGUGUAGCGGUGAAAUGCGUAGAGAUGUGGAGGAACACCAGUGGCGAAGGCGACUCUCUGGUCUGUAACUGACGUUGAGGAGCGAAAGCGUGGGGAGCGAACAGGAUUAGAUACCCGUGUAGUCCCUGUCUCUUAUAA